AGAGAGCUCUUCAACACUGGGUCUGUACAUAGUAAACGUUUCAGUGUUGUGACAAGGGCCUCCUGACACUCCGGUGACCACUGUACUCUUACUGGCGUAGUUCAUUAUGAACAGUAUCCGGUGAGUCCAAGAAAUGUACGGACUUCUUUCUUCGUGGUUGGGACUGCAAGUUUGGGAGUCUCAGGGCAAAUGCUCAUCCAAGAAUCAGAUGAAAAUUCGUGGUGUUACAUAAUUAUAUUGGAGCAUCCUUGAUUGUGUUUGAGUAAUUCAAUCCUCAUUGUGAAGAUCGAACGUUAGUUAGUUAUUAUAAUAGUUAUCAUGUGAAUUCAUAUAGGUGCGAUUCAUUAAUAAUUAUUAAGAUCAGUGCCCUUGUCAUUGUGAAAUGGCAUGCAUGAUUUAAUGCUGGACGAACCUAUAACGAUAAUUAUGUUGCGCAGAACACAGAUUCCAGAAAAGAGUAAGGCACAAAAUUGUAGCUUAAUAAUUUCUUGUGCAUGUGAAAUUCUAUUCACAAAGAUGCUGAGAAACAGAUGAGAAGAGCACGAGAUGAUGAGAGCACGAUACGGCAGCACAAACUACAAUGGCGGUCUCAAGGUUACAGAACUUUACAGAGCUCAACUACAGAGCUCAACAGGCUAUCAAUCCAAACUAGGAAGCACCCUUCUGGAGUCAGAUGACAUCGAUGCUCUUGACACUAUAGUAGCAAAGUGAACUACAGAUCUAGCUCUAACCCUAUUAAACUAUAGAUCUAGCUCUUGUCCCAAAUUAUAUUUUGUAUGGGGGUGCAUUUUGUAUGGGGGUGCUGCGCACGAUCUAGCUGCUAGUAUUUAGGCGCCACACAGGACGCCUCUAAAAGAUAGCUCAAUUAGGAAAAAUAAGGUAAUAAUGGGGAGGAGUUGGAUUUAGAAUUUGUCAGAUUUGGUAGGCAUUAAUUUAGCUGUGCUCUGGUUUUCCCAGAGCCUGUCACCUGAUUGAACAAUAUACGAGCAUGCGCUUGCUAAUGCCUCUCGCCAUGUUAUUUAACUAUUUCUAUUUCUAUUUCUAUAUUAUUCUAUUUCUAUAAUUAUUAAAGUCAGCUUAUCUGUAAAAAAAAAAAAUUAUUUUAUAAAGUAUAAAGUUAUAAAGUAUAAAGUCAAAGUCAUUGAGAUAUUUACAUGCAUCUUAUUUACAUUCUAUAGAAGAUUGAUUCUUCUUCCAGGUUCAAUGUAUGACCUGGAUGAUUCUGUUAUUAUUAUUUUCUCACACGAGCCAUUACAUCCACAGGAAUAAUUACCCCACAGGAAUAAUUAACCCUUUCCCUGCUCCUGCUUUAACCGAUUAUACGCCGCAUUGUUACGUCAGGGGGGUUACACCCCCACCGCCAUAUUAAUUUUUUAAAAAUGCAAAAAUUAGUUAGUUCUUAGAAAACUGACUGCUCGUAACUCGAAAGCGUCGUAACUCGAAAGCGCUUCGACUUUUGAUUAUGCAAGUUAGGCUAGGAAGAUAUACCAGUCAAAGAUCUACAAGAUGAUGUCCAAAUCGCUUACUAUCUCGAAGUGAUCUGCUUCUGUCAAGCACUAAACAAGGUACUGGGUGUGGCUUAUAACCAGAGGCAGCUAUGUGUAAAAAGAAGCACUGGCAGUGGCAAAAAGGUGUGGCUGGAUCCAAUAAUCAGAGAUGGGGCCACGUAUGUACAGUGAACGUGAACAGAGGAACAGUGGCAGUAGCAGCGAGGUAAAAGUGUCUGUGUCUGUGGCUACUGCUGUCCGUGAGUACUUGCUGUCACUGCCCAGUGCCCUGUCAAGGGUGGAAUACAUGGUUGACGUUCGUGGUAGGACUGUCACAACAGUGGUCAGCAGUAUUCCUCUCAGUAGAUCUAUUGUUGUAAUUAUUCUAUUGUUGUGAUUAUUGUUGUAUUUGUGGUCUUGUUUUUAGUCCAUGCAUUGAGUGAAGCUAUUUUAUUUGUUGGUUGGAGUAAUGUAACUGUCCAGCUCCUCUCUAAACUGUUAUUGAUCAGAAAAUUCAUGCCUCCAUGACUGGCACGUCUCUGUCUAUUUCAGCUGUUAGAUCUUCUAUGUCAAUCUCUGCAGGUCCCCAUUGUCCAAAAUUUCUUACAGCACCUCCUCACUGGUCUAGUGUGGCCUCUUGGCCAUGAUUGUAGCUCUAUAUAAUUUUUUGAAAGUGUUUGUUUAUGCCAAUAAUUAAUAUUUAAUUUGGCUAUUGCAAAAAUAUUUUCUACAUAGUAUGAGUUUUUGACUGCAUAUAUACUUACCUGAACAGUAACUGGACGUAGUCGUAGCGUUAAACUAGCUGCAGCCUCACCCUGGUUUCUUUACCGCAGAGAGAAGCCGGAUCGCUGCAUAUAACGCCAAUUGGCCGUGUCGGCCACUCGGCCACUUACCAGAGUGACGCAGAGUGACGCCAAUACGCCAAUAGGCGUCAUUGGCGUUAAUUAAAAGUAAAUUAUUAUUGUUUAAAAAUUUAACUCAUGAACCGUAUACUUGCAACAACCAACCACCACCCCACAAAUAACAAUUGUUAACAAAAAUUCACAAUUAUGUACACAAACAAUUAUUGUAUGAUGUUACCGGUGACAUGGCUCACUAAUCAGGAUCCUGUCUAUGAGUUUGUAUCGGCAGACACCCUUUUCCCGGGACACACAGGUUUACAAGUUGUUGUACUUAUAGUGACCAACCUCCUCUGGGUGGCGGUGCUUCCAAUUGCAAGUAAGUCAACUCCUAAAAAUGGUUCGUCUGCAGGUGGACUGGCAUCCUCUAAUGACAGUGCUGUGUCAUUCUUUACAGGGUAUUGUAGGGAUAGGUGAUAACUAAAGCAACUUUAGAUAAAAAGUAUUCACCACGCCCACAGUAUUCGAAAGGUUACUGUUAUUCAAAAGGUUACUAAUUUUAGUAUGCCCAUGGUCAUAAUUAUGCAUGGCCUGCCAUGACAUUGUUUCACGUCUUCGUCCACGAACAGUUCCAAGUGGAUACGUCUAUCAUGCUUGGAAAGACGGACAAAAGAUUGAAUGUGAAGACAAACUCAGGUCUAUUUUGGCCCAACUGGAGUUUACCCAGACUAUCCGUGACUAUGACCAGAAAGGUGCUUACAUGUCCCAGAAACACAUCCGGACACAGGUCACACUUGGUAUGAGAGGGAAGAUCGAGGGAAGAUCCAGGUCAUGUGGAGAAGGUUUGUCUGUUGUGCGUGCACAUGCAUUGUAUUAAGAGAAUGGCGAAUUGUACUAGACAGGGUGGACCUAAAACCGUCAAGUUUGAACGAUAUGUCGAGGCAAUCAAAGAAAAACUGGCCUCACCUACCCCGCUCUGGUUGGGCUUCGCAAGCAUGUGCAAGAUGCGGAGAGGAUAUUUUCUUCGCCUCUAGCUGAGUUCAUGGACCGGAAAGGCCGGAAAGGUUACACUGAAGAGGCUAAAUAACUGAAGAGGCUAAAUACAUCUAUGCCGUCAAUGGUUGGAGGAGGGCUGCUGAUGAAAGAGGGCUUUCAAGUCUGCAAGUUGAUGCCGUGGCAUUCCAGCCUAGAGGUCAACAAGAGUAUCACUGGUAUUCGAGGAUUUACACGACAAGUUUUGAUUGCAGUUGUCGCCCAUAUUGAAACUACCGAAUUCAGAACAUCCUCGUGCAAGAUGAUGUGGAGUGCUUUUUCAGCGUCACAAGAGAUCUUGUGGGCAAGAAUUUUACCCUCAAACAGGCCCAGAUCGGGUGGAGGAAGAUAUGUUGCAACCCCGACUUACCAUUCUACUAUGAGGGUGAGAGACAGAGACCUUCUUUCGACGAUCAACCAGCAAGGCAGAAAAAGGGCCAACGACUGCCAGUCUUGGAAGCAGGAGCCGAAGUGGUAGAGCAUCUCUGCCUCUAAAUUGAUCACUAAAUGUGAGAGCAAGGUUCCACAAUCCACCAAUGAGCCCACCUAGUGUUCCUAUUAACGUCACUGAACAUUCCGAUCAAAUUAAAAUUCCUCUGAACGUUCAGACUCAACAGUCAUUUAUUGUUAUCUGUUAAAACAUUUGAACUUUCAUAAUUAUAGUAGCCGAACAGUCAUUAAUUGCUAUCUGUUAACGGUUCAAUUGGGUGUGACAACAUAAUUAUAAUGUAUAACAUAUGAUACGUGUGACUAUACACGACUAUGUAUUGCUUAUUGCUAUGAAAAUGUACUUCUUGCUUCUCUUACUUUCUGCGACCAUUCUCCAGUUUUUGAAAAAAAACGAUUUAGAGGUGUGUCUAAGGAUAAGAUACCUGCCUUUUGUACCACACCCCCUUUAUUUUGCAGUAAUUCUGUUCAUAGUAUGUAGUUUAGUGAAGUGAUUUAGUCGGAGUUUAAAACACCCUCUAGUAAAGCUUGUAAGAUAAUAGAUGACUUCCAUAAGCCCUUGUACUUUGUCGAAAAAUUGUUGACCGUAUCCCUGGGAAGCCUACUAUUUCUCCGUUUCAGAGACCAGGAGAGCAAAGCGCUAGGGUGAGUUUUUAGUUUAGGUAGAACUAAGCAGCAGUUGGUGUUUAAACGCCGAUUUUUCAAUAGAAAAGUGAAAUAGUGAAAUAGUGCCUCGACAAAAAGGACCACCCCCACUUAUAAAUUAGUGGGCGUGGCUUCAUUUUUAGAGAAUGGAAGUCAAUGUUUCAUUUCAUCAAAAAAGUAUAGCAGCAGGUUGUUAUAAGAUGUGUGACAGGCUCUGGGAAAAAGGAGCAGAUAUUGGUAUUGAGCAAUAGCCAGAUUUAUGGACUGCAGUGUAUAAUCUCAUAAUAAUUUUUCUUAGCUUAUAGUUAUCUAGUCUUAUGAUUAUUUCAGAGCUUGGUU